CCUACGGGCGGCUGCAGUGGGGAAUAUUGGGCAAUGGGCGCAAGCCUGACCCAGCAACGCCGCGUGAAGGAAGAAGGCUCUCGGGUUGUAAACUUCUUUUAUCAGGGACGAAGCAAGUGACGGUACCUGAUGAAUAAGCCACGGCUAACUACGUGACAGCAGCCGCGGGAAUACGUAGGUGGAAAGCGUUAUCCGUAUUUACUGGGUGUAAAGGGCGUGUAGGCGGGAAAGUAAGUCAGAUGUGAAAACCACGGGCGCAACCUGUGGCACGCAUUUGAAACUGGUUUGCUUGAGUACUGGAGAGGCAGACGGAAUUCCUGGUGUAGCGGUGAAAUGCGGAGAGAUUAGGAGGAACACCAGUGGCGAAGGCGGUCUGCUGGACAGCAACUGACGCUGAGGCGCGAAAGCGUGGGGAGCAAACAGGAUUAGAUACCCCAGUAGUC
rnacentral:rRNA from 1 species